rnacentral:rRNA from 1 species
UACGGGGGGGGCAAGCGUUGUUCGGAAUUACUGGGCGUAAAGGGCGCGUAGGCGGCCACCGCAAGUCGACUGUGAAAUCUCCGGGCUUAACCCGGAAAGGUCAGCCGAUACUGCGGGGCUAGAGUGCAGAAGGGGCAACUGGAAUUCUCGGUGUAGCGGUGAAAUGCGUAGAUAUCGAGAGGAACACCUGCGGCGAAGGCGGCUAUCUGGACCGACAUUGACGCUGAGGCGCGAAAGCGUGGGGAGCAAACAGG